UAAUCAAGCCCAACCAGUCACACCUGUCUCCUGGUCCUCAUAUACACCAGCACCUCAGUCACUCCCUGUCAGACCUUAAACCUACGCACUUCAUGGACUCACCCCUUCUCUGUUCCCGGUUCCUGUCCCUCCAACCGACUCCUUCAGUUCUGUCUCAGUAAGACCUUUACCUUGUAUUCCUGACUUAUACUAAAAGUGAAUAAC